UUUAGACCGUCGUGAGACAGGUUAGUUUUACCCUACUGAUGAAGGUCGCCGCAACGGUAAUUCAAUUUAGUACGAGAGGAACCGUUGAUUCAGAUAAUUGGUUUUUGCGGCUGUCUGACCAGGCAGUGCCGCGACGCUACCAUCUGCCGGAUUAUGGCUGAACGCCUCUAAGUCAGAAUCCGUGCCGGAACGCGGCGAUUUCGCCCCGCACGUCGUAGUUGGAUACGAAUAGGCCUUCGGGCCAUGCACCUCAGCAGGCUGGCGACGGCUCCCGGGGAGAAACCCUCGGGAGCUGGCUAGCGGAUUGUAAUGUCACCUCGCGCGGGGAUAGAUCCUCUGCAGACGACUGAAGUGACCAAGCGGGUCGUGUAAGCGGUCAAGUAGCCUUGUUGCUACGAGUCGCUGAGCGUCAGCCCGACCUUGGCUAGAUUUGUUGGUUUUACACCU
rnacentral:rRNA from 1 species